UGUCGCUUUAGGAGGGGCCCGCGGCGCAUUACCUAGUUGGGGAGGUAACGGCUCACCAAGGCGACAAUGCGUAGCCAACCUGAAAGGGUGAUCGGCCCCCCUGGGACUGAAACACGGCCCAAACUCCUACGGGAGGCAGCAGUAGGGAAUCUUCCCCAAGGGGCAAAAGCCUGAUGGAGCACCGCCGCGUGAGUGAAAAAGGUUUUCGGAUCGUAAAACUCUGUUGUAAGGAAAAAACAAGUACAGUAGUAACUGGUUGUACCUUGACGGUACCUUAUUAGAAAGCCACGGUUAACUACGUGCCAGCAGCCGCGGUAAUACGUAGGUGGCAAGCGUUGUCCGGAAUUAUUGGGCGUAAAGCGCGCGCAGGCGGUCCUUUAAGUCUGAUGUGAAAGCCCACGGCUCAACCGUGGAGGGUCAUUGGAAACUGGGGGACUUGAGUGCAGAAGAGGAAAGUGGAAUUCCAAGUGUAGCGGUGAAAUGCGUAGAGAUUUGGAGGAACACCAGUGGCGAAGGCGACUUUCUGGUCUGUAACUGACGCUGAGGCGCGAAAGCGUGGGGAGCAAACAGGAUUAGAUACCCUGGUAGUCCACGCCGUAAACGAUGAGU
rnacentral:rRNA from 1 species